rnacentral:rRNA from 2 species
AACGACUCUCGGCAACGGAUAUCUCGGCUCUCGCAUCGAUGAAGAACGUAGCGAAAUGCGAUACUUGGUGUGAAUUGCAGAAUCCCGUGAACCAUCGAGUCUUUGAACGCAAGUUGCGCCCAAAGCCAUUAGGCUGAGGGCACGUCUGCCUGGGCGUCACGC